CCACGUAGUCCCGGACUGUCCGGACAAACUGGAUCAGGGACUGGGUGCUCUCCGGAACGCCGUGGUCAGGCCACACGGUGUAGUGAAAGUGGCGCAGCAUCCGGGAAUAACUGCGGCUGUUCUCCUUUAAAUCAGAAAUGCAGGAAGCUACAGUGAAUGAUGCUGAGGAGCAGGUACCGAGGUGAUCUUGAACUCUCUGAUGGUCCACUCGGGCAGGACGGACUCUGACAGCAUCUGAAUGACCAGGUCGCCGUAGUACAGCGGUUCCUUGUCAGCAGGCCAGUACUGAUCACACUUCACCUGGAAACAUAACAGGUGGUGCAGCAGCACAUGUUCAUUAUUCAAGGAUACCUACAUGGCAGGAUGUUGUUGUAGCGGUUCUUCCCUCGGUUUUCCGGCAGUCUGGCGAGGUCCAUCGUCUGAUUGCGGCCCACAUCCUUCAGAUCCUGCA